rnacentral:rRNA from 1 species
CCUACGGGAGGCUGCAGUGGGGAAUAUUGCACAAUGGGCGAAAGCCUGACGCAGCAACGCCGCGUGAAGGAAGUAGGUUUUCGGCUUGUAAACUUCUUUUGUCAGGGACGAAACAAAUGACGUUUCCUGAAUAAGCAGCCACGGCCAACUACGUGCCAGCAGCCGCGGUAAUACGUAGGGGGCAAGCGUUAUCCGGAAUUACUGGGGGUAAAGGGGGUGUAGGCGGGAUAGUAAGUCAGAUGUGAAAGCCAUGGGCUUAACCUGAGGACUGCAUUUGAAACUGUCAUUCUAGAGUACGGGAGAGGCAGGCGGAAGUCUUAGUGUAGCGGUGAAAUGCGUAGAGAUUAAGAGGAACACCAGUGGCGAAGGCGGCCUGCUGGACCGAAACUGACGCUGAGGCGCGAAAGCGUGGGGAGCAAACAGGAUUAGAUACCCGAGUAGUC